UCCGCGCUCGUGACGCACGGACGUAAAGAGCAUAAAAGGCGCAGGAACCUUCCAGUCCUUCCAUUUUCUUCUCCCAUCCAACCGAGGAUGCCGACGACUCGAAUGUGCUGCUCUGAAAUGCAGGACAGAUGCCGUGAAGUCCAGCAGAGUGACACGUCUGCAUUACUUGUGACAUGACUUCAAGGCAUCUGAACAGAAUCUCCACUUCCAUUCUGGAAUAGGAAUGUGUGCUGAAUACCUGAUUCCAGACAAGGAGACUGAUGCACUUUGUGAAAAUCCAGGUUGGUGAAAUGUUAAAACACUGACAUUUGAAAUAGUACCCCACUUCCCUUUAUAGUGCCCUACCUUAGACCAGGACCCAUGUACUAUAAAGGCAACAUGGUGACUUUGGAUGAAGGCAAUUUCACCUUUUGGCUGGCCAACUGUACAAGAUGGCUACCGGGAUGUGCUACAGUCCCAAUGAUGAUGAACUUAGCUCACUUUGAACCGAUGUGAAACGACAUGAACUACUGAGUGACUGUAGCUAAUGCACCAGUUGUAUGUUUAAAUGUUUUUUACAGCAAAACCCUCACUUCCUUUCUCAUUUUAACAGACGGGGAGGAAGUUUCCUGACGGGAUUAACAAGGUCGUCCAACUAUCAAACUGGGUUCCCCACUACGGGGUUUGGGUGCUGUGGUCAGUUGCAUUGCAGCGUGGACUCCAACAUACUGGUUCUUAUGUAUAUGGCUGAACAGGGAGCCGUGAUGCCAACUAGACUGGUCCUGAUGGUGGUACCAGACAAGUCACUAGAAGAUGCCUGUUACUGAACUACCUCAAGGUCCUGACUGUUGUACCAGACUGGCCACUAGAAGGAAGCUCUUUGCUGUGACAGUGAAUGAAGGUGUGUAAUUCAAGUUAUUUUGAUGUCCUUGUGGGUCUGCAGUCUUCAGGAAGGUCCUGACUGUUCCAGCCUGGCCACUGGAGAACUGUUGCUGCACGACCUCAAGGUUUCUGCCCCCCUGGUUGAGGUCCUGGUGUCUGCAGGGUUUGGAAAGAUCUGGUUGGCUGCUGAAGUGUUGCUGUGCUGGUGGAGUUUGAAGCUCUCCUGUUUUACACCUGCAAGACCUCUUGCACUCCUGAUUGGUCAGCAAGGAAGUGGGGGAAACCAGGCCAAGUCAAUUCAACCCUGUGACUGUUCUGAUGUGUAAUAAACCUACAAAUUAA